AACAAAGAAAGAAAACCAUUGAUCAAUUAUCAAAUUGCUAUGGAAAACCCAAAUAAUGUUAGUGCAACUGAGAUGAAACCUGAUCACUGAAGCCUGCAUUGCGAGACAUAACAACACCCCAUCGGCUUACAGCAGUUGUCAUCGAGGUGACAUAAAAACCCUCUCUCCACUUUUUGUUUAUCCACUUGAAGGGGAAAGAGUCACUUACCUUAUAAGAUUGUUGAGUGUAUUGGGUACCUACACAAAUUAUCAUGAUUCAGAAAUCUUGAGCCAUGAAAGUAAAUGAAAAAGGAAAAAAAGCAGCAGUUCUGCUUAGAUAUUGUUUGUCCGAAGGACAAACUUUGAUAAAAACUAACAUGUUCGUCCUUUAGGUUUCUUCAUAAAGAUGCAUCUUUCUAUUCUACCAAGAGUUGCUUCCAUAUAGAGUAAUUCAGUUCUCAUCCAAUCAAUCCCCUUGGUUUCUAGUAACUCCUAAGAUUACAAGAUUUAAAUCAAAGGAGAAAAAUGAACAAAAGAAACAAAGCUACAAUUGAGAGUUGGAAGGAACAUCUAUGUCAAAGGAAAGAUGUCACACCAUCAACUAGAUACUCGAUAUACCAUAUUCCCCUCCCAAACCCAUCUAAAGUGCUUUUGAUUUUAGCGUUCAUUUAUUCCAUUAAAACCAAAAUUUCAUCAGACUUUUACACAAACCAGAAUACAAACUGACCUUUGGACAUAACAACAAGGGAACUUCCAUUGUUUGAACCAGCAAUAGAACUAAUGUAAUAGUUUUUCUCCCACUGAUCCAUGAUCCACUCCUGUAUAUUCAGAAGAAUAAGCCAUUCCUUAAUAUAAAUAUUUUACUUAAGCAAUCAUAACAAUAUGCAAUAGGUCACCUUGUGUAAGAAGGAAGGUGAUAGCUCAUAAACUUGGCUUGUAAAACCAGUCCCUGCAUCCAUGAUCAAUGCCCAAAGAUUGGUACAAGAUGCCACACAGCUUAUUAGCAGACCAUCUGCUAUUCCUUUCUCCACAUGUUGAGCCAACCUUGCAUCUGCCACAUUGUAAUGAUACCUAAUUGCAUGAAAACCAAACAGUGAAGUUGAAACAUCAAACACAGAAGGCUAGUACAUAUGAACAUUUUUUCCCUCAUUGUCUACAGGCUGAUCAUACUCCAGCUAAAGCAAAAAAUAAAAUGGGCAAGAGGAGGACUAAAGAGGUGUUUGAUAGAGGACCACUAAGAAGUAUUUUCACCACAUGGCAAAAGGUUCUUCAACCACAACUCAAAAGGAGACCAAACUAAUUCAAAUAUAUAUACUUAAGAUUCUACUGUAUGUUGCAUUUGCUGCUUUCCUUUUGCUUCAAAUGUUAUGAAAACGAGAAAUGAGCUAAUAAUUACAAUCUAAAUUUCCUUUUGAAAGUGAAAUUAUUAAUUUCGCAAAUCAUUUCUACUGUCUUUUAAAAUAAAAAAGAAAAUGAAGAGAAGAAAAGGUGCAGUGAAAAUGAAGACUACUCCAAAAUACCUCUGCUUCAUUGGAAGUCUGGCAUUGUAGACUGAAAUCCACUGUGUAGCAGGAACACCAAGACGAACCUUCUUCUUGGGUUGAUCAUCAUCUUCAUCAAUGUUCAACCUACCCCGCUUUUGGCCUACUUGAUAAAUAAUCUACCAAAAUUUCACAAUUAUCAUUACUGAGUUUAUAGAUUUUCUAAAGAAAGUCCUAACUGGCAGAUGACAGUGAGAGCAUGGGGAAUCCUCGGCCCCCUACCCCCAAGAUCUUUGAACCCCCUAGUAUGAAUGCAUAUUUACAUUAAAUACAUUUAAAUUGGCCACCAAAAUAUAAUAUUACUAUUUUUAUUUUUUAUAUAUAUUUUUCCUGCAACCAAAUUUUAUGCAUUGACAAAAGGAGUUAAAAGACCGGUAUUCUAUAUAAUUAUUAUUUCAAAAUAAUAAAAUUAUCACAUGCGACAUCCGUGACAACAAAUACUAGACCACUAGUACAUCUGAAUACCUUUUGAGCACCAUCUGUGUUUAUUGGCCUUAUAGCUGGAUUUGGUCCUAACAAGCCCUCAAAUAAAGAUAUUAGUUUGGAGUAGUUAGGCUCCUCAUCAAAUUUCAUAUUCACCACAAUCUCAAGAAAUUGUUUUAGUGCAGGAGGACAGAAGCAGCAAAGCAUUUCAGGGGAUGUAGCCAUUUUCUUUUUGCAGACUAAGAACGAUUUGUUGUCACCCUUGAUUUAGAAAGCAAAACAGAAUAAGAAAACAAUACAGUUAUAGAUGAUGAGGGCUAAAAUGACUAAUAUGCAACUCACUAUGAUAAUUAUAUCAGCCAUACCUGAUAGCCCUGCCACAGUAAUCGACCUCGAUGCAGGAAUAUGAGUGUGUAUGCUAGAGACUCAAGAUCAUCUCUUCUGCUGGCAGUUCUUCCCAAAUGUGCAUGAGCACUAGCAUAUCGAACAGUUCCUCUGGUGAAUACCAAAAUUACAGAACACGAUAGUGUUAGCAAAAUAGUUGAUCUUACGCACCUAUCUCCAACAAGACAAAAAUUAUACACACCUGAACAUAUCGGGACGUUGAUCAUAAUCAACAUGCAGCCCACUGCUGCUAUCUUUCCACUUUGUUGCUGAGAUGUCAUGGUGCAGGCAAAACAUAAGAAAAGAAUCAAAAUGGAAGAAUUAAAGAGAUACUGUAGGGAUAAAGUGAAAUUUACUUGCCUAAUCCAAGGUCUACAAGAAAUAAUUUCUUCUCUUGUGGUGUAGAUGGUUGACCAAGUAGAAAAUUCUCAGGCUUAACAUCCCCAUGCACAUAACUGGUAUCACACAGGAUCAACAUUCAAAGAAAAAGUUGGUAGAAAUCAAAAAAGAGAAAAGAGUUGAAAAUUAAGAAAGAUACUAAUAUUAUAAAUUUAAAGAGCUUGCAAGCCAACUAAUAUUCAUACUAAAAAUAAUUAAGAUCACCAACCCUUUGGAGUGCAUCUUCUCUAAUAUUGAUAGGGACUCAACUGCUAUACAUGCUACCAUUUCUGCAGACAUCCUGCAUGUGAAAUUGAGAACAAAAGUUUUAAAUCAAAGACUAGUAGGCUUAUUCCAUCUUAUCAUCCAUCAGUCUCAACGUCUACAUAAAGGAUUAGGAGAUGCCUUAUGUUCCAUAAAACGUGAUAAAAUUGGAAAGAAAAAAAAAAAAAACUUGCAUAAAAAUUCUUUUGCGGUGAAGGGUUAAGAAGAAAAGCCCAAACAUGUAUUGAUUCUAAGGAUUAGCUAAAGUUGAGUAUGAGUGUUCAUGGCCUUUUAGCAUUGGGUUUUGGGUUUGUUAGAGGGUUGGAUUAGUUUGUUAUUCUUAAAAUAGCCACCACCCCACUCCUCCCAAAAAACAGGUGAAGAGAGUAAACAUAGCUCCCCAACUGGCAACCACUAAAUAACUUAGAUAGCCCAAGCAUGAACAUAUACUCUCAAGAUAUUUCUAGUGGAAAGAAGAAAUGGUAAACAGUAAGGGAGUAUUUUUGUUUCUUCGACCUGUCCACUGAACAAAACUAAAAACAAUUGUAAAUCUAUCAAAUAAGAAUGAAGCAAAUUUCACUUAAUAAAGUGCUUCCUCUUAUGUUGUCUCUCGUUUCUGAAUAAGCAAACCAUAAGAAAAAGGAAGCAGGGCAGGGAUGGAGUGUUAACAAGGUAAUAAGACAUGUCACUCACGCUUGCCCUGAAGAAUUCCAAACAUCCCAUAAGCUGGGCCCUAAAAUGUCCAUAACCUGAAAAUACACAAGUAUAAGUCAAGCUGGGAUUUAUGAUACACAAAUAGAAAACAAGCAGCAGAUCAUACCAUCACAUAAUAGUCUCCUUGCUUCCCUUUGUAGUGUACUUUGGGAACUCCAUGACUGCCACCAAGAGCACUGUUCACAACAAUAUCAACAGUGUCAGGUAUAGUCAUGACUUAGAAAUGUUCCAAAGAAAAACUAGAAACGAGAUAGAUCCACCUACUUGUAAACUUGCCAUUCAUAUGGAGGACCAUAAUUACAUCCUUUGCUGUUUCUAUGCUCAAAUUUCAGAGCAACCUAAAAGAUGGCAAGAAUAGUAACAGAACUAAUAUUAAUAUAGAUAAUUAUGAUGAUAUGAAACUUCCUAUAGGCUUGAGACAGUAAACGAUGGUUUACCUCCAUGGGAGCAGAACCGGUUCCACGUUCAUUUCCACCACUAACACGUCGUCCAACAAACACCUGACCAAAUCCACCUUUACCUAGCUUUCUCUCUACUUUGUACACAGGAGAUCCCCCAACAUGAACCUUGCAAAAGUUAAAAAGGGAAAUAAAUCCAACUAUCCUAACUGACUAAAAAAAUGAUAUUAUAAUGAUAGGACACAAAGAUUACUGGAAAGAGUGUAUUAGGAGAAGGUUUUCUCACUUUCUCCUUCUAACUUUUCACUCAUUCGAUGGUAGAGAAAUUAGAAGGCAGGGAAAAUAGGUGGACCUUUAAAAUCUCUCUCAUUCCCUAAAAAUUCAACCCUUCCACAGGUGGGAGGAUAGCAUUCACUAAACUAAAAAAAACCGAUCACAUCAUUUACAUGUUUACUCAAUUCUUUUCCAUCAUCCCAUUUUCCAUCUAUUGUACCAAAAUGAAUAAUAAAAAAAUCAAUUUCAGUGCCCUUUCCUUUCCCUCAUUUUCCUUCCUUUCUAACAAAUACAGUGUCGGGCAGACAACAAGGCUCGAAGUAAUUGGCUCUCAACACUUAACACACAGACACACACGCAUAGACAACUAUCAAUAAGAGUUAAAGGCAAAAAACUGCUAAAUCGAAAAUACAGUGGCUCGGAACCAUAACAAGAACAACUAUCAACAAGCAAGUACCAAACAAAUACAACACAUAAAUAAUGGACAAGCCAAAACCAGAAGCAUAUAACCAUACCCUCUCUGGAAAAGGUGCAGUAUUCCCCUCCUCUUCCUGUCCAACAGCCCUGUUAGCACUCAACCCACCGCUGUCGUCCCCCAUCCCACCUUCCUUCCCUUUAUCAACUUCCACCAACUCCUUCCUCUCGAUAUCGCUCCCUCUCUCAGAAAUCGAAAUCACCUGUUGAUUAAACUCACGAUCCGCUCCACCGGUCGGGGCUACCACCCCCACCUGAACUUUAUUCUCCUCCUUAAGUCUUUUCGCAGCCAGCCUAGUCCUCGGCCUACCUACCUCUCCCUCAGCCGCACCUUUCCGACCUCGGUUGCUCCGCCUCGUCUGUUUUCCCCCUUGUUGCGGUUGAGCUAACGUGGCGCGACGUCUACUAACUCCUUUUCGAAGCACAGGCAUUUCGUAAACCCCAUAAAAUUGAAGCCAAACCCCAAUAACCCAAUCAUUGUAUAACUUCUUCAACAACACCAGCCAUGUAAAAAUUCAAUAAUUAAAAAAAAAGGUUUGGGGAAUUCACAACAAGAAAUUGAAACGACUAAUCAAUUUUUGAAGGGAUUUAAGGUUUAAUUAGAGAGCGGAAUAAAAAAACAGGAAGGAUUUUUGAAGUAAAUGAAGGGUUAGGGUUAGGGUUUGGGGAGGAAAAUUGGAAUUUUGGGAGGGGAGGGGGGAUCAGAAAAUAGCAACAAUAAAGGGAAAUGGGAAAAUGAAGUAAAAGAGAGGCUUCCUUAGGCCGAUAGCCAACUUACAGAGCCAAAAUUGAUAUGCGAAUGAAAUUAGAGUUGAGGUGGGCCCCAUUUUACUCCACGUCAUGUUUACUCCACGUCAGCAUGUUUAUUUUUAUUUUUUUGACCUUUUCCCGCGUUGUAAAGAAAAGACGAUGCCUUUCUAAUUUUACAAGUGGAAAACUUAAGAAGGAUUAACAUAUUGUUUGGUUGGUACCUAAUUUCGAUUUUAAUGUUCGAUUUUAAUGUUCAAUUUGGAACUUGUGAUUAGUUUCAAUAUUCAAUUUUUGUUCUCAUCGAAUGAUAUUAUAUGGUACCAAUGAAUUUUAAACACACGUGCCCUAGUAAUAAAAGGAGCAAUUGAGAUAAAAAAAUUUAAAUACCAAAUUAAACAAUAAAGUUAGACUCGAGUGUUUAAUUGAAACAAAAAAAAAUUAAAUAUCAAAUUGAAAAAACUCAAAACUCAAAUUUAAUAUUAAAUCAAAACUAAAAUACUAAAUUAAACAUUAAAAUCAACAUAAAUACCAAAUCCUUAUUAAAAUUAUUUUUAAUUUAAAUUAUUUUUAAUUUGCAUAAAUCAAAUUCGAAGCUCAACUUUCAAAUUAUUCAAGUUUUAUUCACUUCAAACUUGAAUAAUUUCAAAUUAUCCAUUCAAAUUAUUUAAAUCAUUCCAAUUUGAAGAUGAGUUCAUUUAAAAUUAGUUGAGUUCAAAUUCCAAGAAUUAAAAAAAAUGCUAAUUAAAAUAUUUUCAUAUGCAAAAUUACGCACUUUUAAGAAAAUCUAUUAUUCUCUCCCAAAUUUCAAUUUAUAUAUAUAUCUAAAUAACAUUUUAUAUUACAUGUUAGGGCCAUGUUUAUGCCACAUAGCACAUAUUUAACAGACACUUGCAAACAUUGUUAACAGUUGUACUUUAAAAUACAGAAAUAAACAAAAUUAGGACUAAAUUGCAACAUUUUAAUAGUACAAGGACUUGGGAGAUAUUGUUAAGACAUCCU
rnacentral:lncRNA from 1 species